CCGUUGCUUCGGCGGGCCGGUCUCCGUGACUGCCCGGCUCCCCUCUGGGGGCGCCCGCCGGAGGUUACCUAAAAAAACCCUUUGCGUUUGUGUGGCCUCUCUGAGUCUUCUGUACUGAAUAAGUCAAAACUUUCAACAACGGAUCUCUUGGUUCUGGCAUCGAUGAAGAACGCAGCGAAAUGCGAUAAGUAAUGUGAAUUGCAGAAUUCCGUGAAUCAUCGAAUCUUUGAACGCACAUUGCGCCCGCCAGUAUUCUGGCGGGCAUGCCUGUCCGAGCGUCAUUUCCAACCAUCAAGCCCCGGGCUUGUGUUGGGGACCUGCGGCUGCCCGCAGGCCCUGAAAACCAGUGGCGGGCUCGCCGACACUCCGAGCGCAGUAGUACCUAUCUCGCUCAGGGCGUGUCGCGGGCUCCGGCCGUUAAACGAGGCGCUCCGUCGCCUCCCCCCCCAAAGGUUGACCUCGGAUCAGGUAGGAGGACCCGCUGAACUUAAGCAUAUCAAUAAGCGGAGGA
rnacentral:rRNA from 1 species